UAAUACGUAGGGGCCUAGCGUUGUCCGGAUUUAUUGGGCGUAAAGAGCUCGUAGGCGGUUCGGUAAGUCAGCUGUGAAAUCUCCACGCUCAACGUGGAGGGGUCAGCUGAUACUGCCGUGACUUGAGUCCGGUAGGGGAGUGCGGAAUUCCCGGUGUAGCGGUGAAAUGCGCAGAUAUCGGGAGGAACACCAGUGGCGAAGGCGGCACUCUGGGCCGGAACUGACGCUGAGGAGCGAAAGCGUGGGGAGCGAACAGGAUUAGAUACCCUGGUAGUCCACGCCGUAAACGUUGGGCACUAGGUGUGGGACUCUAUCGACGGGUUCCGUGCCGUAGCUAACGCAUUAAGUGCCCCGCCUGGGGAGUACGGCCGCAAGGCUA
rnacentral:rRNA from 1 species